rnacentral:rRNA from 1 species
AUGAACGCUGGCGGCGUGCCUAAUACCUGCAAGUCGAGCGAACAGACGAGGAGCUUGCUCCUCUGAUGUUAGCGGCGGACGGGUGAGUAACACGUGGAUAACCUACCUAUAAGACUGGGAUAACUUCGGGAAACCGGAGCUAAUACCGGAUAACAUGUUGAACCGCAUGGUUCAACAGUGAAAGACGGUCUUGCUGUCACUUAUAGAUGGAUCCGCGCCGCAUUAGCUAGUUGGUAAGGUAACGGCUUACCAAGGCAACGAUGCGUAGCCGACCUGAGAGGGUGAUCGGCCACACUGGAACUGAGACACGGUCCAGACUCCUACGGGAGGCAGCAGUAGGGAAUCUUCCGCAAUGGGCGAAAGCCUGACGGAGCAACGCCGCGUGAGUGAAGAAGGUCUUCGGAUCGUAAAACUCUGUUAUUAGGGAAGAACAAAUGUGUAAGUAACUAUGCACGUCUUGACGGUACCUAAUCAGAAAGCCACGGCUAACUACGUG